rnacentral:lncRNA from 1 species
UGAGAGAAGCUGUUCACUGCCUCAUUCUCCUGGUCUGAGUAGAACUCAUCCAAAUUAAUCAGAGAAGAAGGAGAACAAAUACUUUCUGUUCUCCAGGGGCUGUUCUGAGCACUUUGCAUGGAUGAAUUCCUUCGUCUCAGAAAACCCUUGAGGAAACAUUUCACCGAAGUCCUGACUGCUUUUUCCAGCCAGCAACACACCCAGGGAUGGUGCUGUUUCACUGCAGCAGCUCCUGAGGCUGGACAGCUUGUAUGCCAGUCAGAGAAGAGGCAGGAAGGAGAGGGAAGAAAGGUG